AUUAAAUUAAGGUUGGAGUUGAACUCUGCAGGGCUGUGGCUCUCCAGGACCGGAGUUCACGAUCUACUCUAAACCUGAAGAUCCACCGAUAUACAGCACUAUAAAUGAUGAAAACCCAAAUGAUCUCAACAAGGACAUAAUCUACUACAGUACUAUUGAUGAUGUUCCUGGGAGUGAAGCAGUGAGGCCUCCAGCAGGCGGAGCGAUAUACAGCAUAAUAUACAGCACUGUGGAUCCACACUGACUGCAACAGUGAAGAACUCAGGAACAGAACCUUCUGACCAUGAGAAACAAAAUCAGGAUCAGAGGACUGUCAUCACAACUUUUUUGUAGUUUUUUGUAUUAUCUGCUUAUAAUUUCUUCACUGUAAGUUUACUUGUACAGUUUUAUGUUGUUUGCAUUAAUACAAACAAGCAUGGGCCUAUUUAUGAUGAAAUAAAAGUAUUUUGCAGUUGUAUGUGUCUUGGUUUCAGGUUGUCC
ensembl:lncRNA